GGAUGGAACCUAAAUUGAGCUAUUGAAGUUGACAUUGUUCUUGCACAGAUCUAAAAGUGUUGGGAUUUUAUUGCUUAAAAAGAAAUUAGUUGCUGAAAGUACUCAAGUGAUAACAGAUCAGCCUAACUGUGCUCCUCAAGACUCAGUUCUACAGCCUACAGCUUAGAGUCAAGAGUGGGAAACGGAGCAAAAACAUCCUCCUUACUUUUCGUAUCUGGGUCAUCUUAAUUGAUCCCAGCAGACUUAACCAUUGCUGGGCUACCUCAAUCAACCCACCUACAUUGUCACCUGGAGGAACCUGCCUCUUUCCUAGCAGCUGAGGCAAUACCUUUGGGGAAGAAAAGGUUUCCUCUGCUGCUCCAGGGCAGAUUUUUAACCUCUUCACUGCCAUAUACAUUGCUGGGGCAUUUACCAUCAGGAACAAAUGACAAACCAAGACUUGCACCUCCCAUACUACCACGUGCUAUUUUAUAGUCCUAGAACGGAAGUUGUGUACUCUACAGCUGGAACACAUACUUUCAAUAGCUAUACAUUUAAUUGGUCUUCUUACUACUUCAUGCAUUUAGCUAAGUCCUUAAUGUCUUUCUGAAAAAUUUGGCCAGCAAGAGCAUUAGCUACAAGGCCUUUAAGAUACACUUGAUUUUAAAAUAAAGACAGCUGGUCUAAACCUGUGCUAAAACACAUAAAUAUCACUCUUGACCUGAGUAGUAAAUGUUGAGGUUAGAAAAAUGUUUUCUUGGCUACUCUAGAGCUUAUUAUGUAUUUCUAGGUAAAUAGAAUACUGCAAACAAUCCUAAAGUUGUUUAAUAAAUACAGCCAUUUUGGCAACAUUUUAGCUGAAUCUCUAAAUUGAGAAAGCAUUGAAAUCUCUUUUAGAAAGAUCACUGAUUUACUGUUUUUACUUUCAGGUCUGGAUGUGCUUUUAAUGGUGUCUUGCAUGUCACAUAUUGUCCACUUUCCACUAUAACCAGUGCUACUCUUUUUAUAGAUUUUGUUUUUAUAUCAAUGUUUCAGGCGUUUCCUGUUGUAUAGAUGAACACAUCUAUACAAGCUGUCCAAGUGGCCUGUACAGUUCAAGAGAGCGUACUGGCCAGCAGUACAGGUUUAGUGCAUACAUACACAAUGUUAAGGGUGUGCAUUCUUCUGCUUCCCACAGCUGCACAGCUCUCAUGUGAGUCAUUUACAGUCACCUAGUUAAGAUGAAAAAAGUCUUAAUAUUGUUCUUAUCAGUUACACUGAUGCUAAGAACAGGCCUUGAGAUUUCUCAGAGGGAGGUACCCAUGUUUGUGUUGUUUCUGCCUCCAGAUAAGCUUCAGCAUUUUUGUGUAGAUAAGCUUUAACUUCUUUGUGUUUUUGAAGUCUACGUAGUAUACUGAGCUUGGUUUUAUACUGCUGCAGUUCAGCCAGCAUUCCUGUUGAAAAGAUGAAAGGCAGAAACAAUCACAGCUCUUGAGUCAUCAUAGCUUUUAAGCAGGAUGUAGCCAGCUUCUUGCUUCACCAGGAUGAUGCUCAGAGUCAGUAAAAGAUUCAAGGAGAACUGCACAGUGGAAGCCUAUCCCAAGCACAGAAGGCACUGUGAAGCUUACUGCCUGCCACACUUAGCGUAUGAGUGGUUACUGAAACUGAAAACUGAAACAAUUCCUUGUCUGAUGAAUUGACCCCCUGGAAAACAGUGAAUUCUGACUGCAUUAGAAAGCCAAGAACUGAUUGCAUAUGACAGAUCUCUUAAAAGUAAAAUAAACAGUGAAAUACAAUUGGAGAUUUGGUGGAGAAUUCUAAAUUAAGUGAAACGAAGGCUUGUAGCUGCUAAGACUUAACAAUUCAACCUCAUUUCCCUGGAAAGAAAAUAAUGGUCAAAAAAUUAAAGUGGUAGCAAAAGUAAAGUAGUGGAAGACAAUUUUUUGUGGAAACCAUACAUUUAAGACCUGAACUUAAGAAAGGAAAUAGAAGAUUCACUUGAGACUUACUGUUCAGUAGCAGACCUGCUUUAUUGCAUCAACAGGUACAGUUGGUUUAGUUUUUUGUCAUAACAAAUUAUGGUUGUUAGGCUGACUUAGAGGGAGCAUUGUAGAUGGUGGUCUGUUCUAGUAAAUGUCAUCAGAACCUGUUUAUGGUUAUAAAAUCUCUAUAACUCAGUGAGAAAAAAAAAAAAAAAAAAGAGGUUAGUUCAAAGCCUUUAAGGAAGCAUGUUCACAGUAACACAGUAACAACAAGCUCUUCUUGCUUGCUAGCUCUCUUCCAGUGUCCACCAAUGCUGUAGUUCCUUGAAGCUGUUUGUUCAAGCUAUAUCCACACUAAUAAGAGCCAACCUGCAAAUAGUGUACAAAGACUGCUUGCCCUACUUCAUUUAUGAGCAGUUAACUUAGAACGAUUCUAUAUUUUAUUCCAGAUUUAACUUUCCAAAGGAUUUUAAAUUUCUCCUUCUUUUACAUAUGUUUAAAAUAUCCUUCUAGAAACUAUCUGGUACUGCUGAUAUUUCAUUCUACUGAGCUAUUGUUUUCAUUUUGACUUGUCUUUUCCUUUCUUUUGAAAUAAGACUUAGACUAAAUACCAAAAUUCGUUCACUGCAUAUAAUGGCUGAGUGCACUAAAAUAUAAAAACCUUGAUUUAAGUAUUUUUGUAUUCAAAGAUCAUAGGCAAGUGUUCAUUUGAAGGUUCAGUGGCAUUUUGAAAUGAGAACAUCAUAUAUAAAGAUGUCAGAGAUGGAGCCUCCCACAGUGAGGUUGAAAGCAAAAGAAGAACAGAAUGAAUAGAAGAGUUUCUAGGUUCCAAGGAAUUUUAACAUCUCAUUACUUUAGAUUACUCUACGUAUAAUUUUCAAAUAUUUUGUAUUAUAGACUUUGAAUGUAUUGGUUAAAAUUACUUCAUGCCUGACAUCAAUUUAGUCUUAUUCAUUAUCUCCCUUAAAGAAAACCUUAAAAAUAGCUGGUUUCAGUAAGUGAGCAAUUUUCUAAUAGAUGUAAAUUCUUCAACAUUUCCAGAGAGAUCUUGCUGUAAAUGAAAACAGAAAGAGUAGGAAGUAGCCAUCCCUCAGCCUUCCUUCAGCAAUCUCAAUAUUUAAGUUACUUUAUCAAACAACAAUGAAUAUGAUAUUAUUAUUUGGCAUAGUCAGUGCUUUGAUUGGUGUUCCUAUGUCUUUGGUAAUCUAAUACACUGUGUGAUACAGCUGUGGUCACCUGAAGUGUUACUGCAUUUUGAGCACAGGUGGACAGAUCUCUGUAUUCACUCUAGCUCAGUCACUCCAGUAGUGACACAGAGGCUACCAGUGACAUCAUCAGUCACAUCUCUUCUUAAAUCUGUGUCAGUCUCCACCCCUUACUUCUGUGGUACAGCUCUAAUCUGGCAGUAAACAAAUGAGAUGUCAAAAUAAUGUCUUCUGCAUUUUCUCUCUUAACUCAAGUUUUUAGAAUCACCUUAGAAUAUAUAUCACAGGCUUUGUACCCUCCUCAGAGUUUCAAGAUGAAAAUAUUUGUGUUCUUUAAAAAUUAGAAUGUAAUUUCCAAGUCUUCUAGAAAUCUAAAUGAAGGAAAUAUGUUCCAAAAUCUAAAAUCAUAGAGCCAGUUUUCAUAUAGUCACAUAUCCACAACACCUAUUGAAAAUACCAAAUGUAUAAACAUAUGUAUUUAUUUAAGACAAACACAUCUGUCAUUUACUAUGAAACACUUUUUGUAUUUGAAAGAGCUUAUAAAAUAAUUAAUUGGAUUCACAUCUGCAUCCCUUCUGACAUUGGAAUUAAAUAUUCCAGUUGUUCUGUAUUUGGGCUUGUUUCCUAUUACUUGAGAGAAAUGUUGUGUUCUGGAUACAUCAAAACACCACUCCAUAUCCAUUGCAAGGGACUGACUGAUGCUGAAUGGAGGAGCAAAAAGGAGGAACAAGGAAGGAUGCUGUAAAAGACAGAACUACCUUCUACUUUCUUUCAUGUCUGCGGGGAAAAAAAGUGAGAUGAUAUCCUGGGAAAGAUAUCAGACAGAUUUUACUUCUGUUAAUGUGAUGAAGCACUGGAGGAAACUCCUUAGGAAUUAUUUACAUCAUCUUGUCCCAAGGAGACUUUACAAACAGGUUCAAUAGUGUCUGUCUUAGUGAGUAAUAGAGGUGCGAUUCUUCCACAGUGCAGAUGGUUGGAUAGGGAGGAGGUUGUUAGAAAUAAUGGUCCUUUUGACACAGUGAGAAAUUCGGUGUGUGGUGAUAGAUGAGACAUUUUGAGAGUCGAUAUUAAUCAGUCAGUUCACAAAUAUUUGGGAAGCCUUGCUCUGGAAGGUCCCUUCAACUCACCAUUUUUGCCAGGUUUUGAUACUUGCCUGGGCUGCAUGGCAUCCCACCAGUGUGCCAGGCCUGAGCAUGCACACCAGUGAAUGCAGAGACUGGAGAGACGGGAAUGUGAAGAAAACAGCUGAGGGAAGAAAAGUAACAAACUAUUUAAAAAGAAACUUACUGAAAAAAUCUGACAGCAAGGGGAAAGAAAUUCAGAAGCAAAGGAAAGAGAGAAAUACAGUCUGAAAAAGUGAGAAUGGACUGAAAUUGCUUGUGAGCAGUUAAACCUCAGAGAGUCCCACAAGAAGCUGUGCCUUGGCACCUGAGAGCUGAGAUAGUGGCUCACAGCAGCACCAACCUAAGGCACAAGACUGAAAACGAUUCCUGUUCAGAGCAGCCAGGAACACGAUGUGGGUUUUCAGAUUUCCUUUAAGCAGAUGAGAGCACAAAGCUGAAGUGAGCAGCCUGGGCUGGUGCUGCAGGAUGAAAUCUUACACUUCUGUGCCUAGCAAUGAAGUUUUAAUCACCUCAAUAUACAUCGUUCCACAAUAUAUAUUUUUCUGUCUACCAAAGACAUAAUGGCUCCUCCUUUUAUGGGAAACCAGGAUUUAAUCCAGCCAAUAAAUGACAGAAUCAGAGACCAUCCAGUGUCCUGCUCCAUGGCAAGUCACAGUGAUUUCCCCACAUAAAUAGAGACCAUUUAGAGUCCAGGUAAUGUCUCUAUUGUAUUUAUUCACGCUGCUCAUAAAAAAGCACAUCACAAAAGUGCCUGGAAAAUAAAACUCCAAUGAGAAGGGGACCCAUCAAGUUUAAAUGGAGGUUUAUAUUGCAGCAUUAUGAGACAGCGGCUUGCACAUUUCCAAGUCCCAUGGCAGAAAGUGAAACUCUGAACAAUUAAAGCAGCACAGACAUCCUGCCCUAAAGGACUAUGGCAUUCUGUAUCUACUGACACAGAAGAUAAUUUCCCAGUAUUUUCUUUAAUGAACGACCUAUUAUGAACCAGCAAGAAAAACCCAUACUGCAUAAUUCUUCCACAGAUAAACUGGAGGGAUAUCCAGAUUUCAGGGCCGGAUCCUGGAAGAACACUCAGGCAGCAAUGACCUCUGACAUUUGGAAGGCCAAAAGACAGUUCAAUAAGUGGCUUAGACAGAGUGAAGCAAGAAGGAAUGUUCCACCCCACACUGGCAUGGUGCUCUGCUUCAUUCCGUUACACAUCUCUGCUUCUCCAUGAAGUCAUGUCACUAAAUCCAGAAAGCUUCCUUCAGAAAUGCUCAGUAUUGUAUGUUUAGUGUAACUCUUACACCCUGUCAGGGCUUUCAAAGCACAACAAAUUAAUCUGGAAAUUCAGAUUGCUUCCGACAGUGCUGUUGCAGGGAUACAGCAGGAGCUCUGCAGGGAGAAGGUGGGAUGAAGGCACUGAGAAGGGAUCAUUGUACAGAGGGAUGGAUUGUCAUGGAGGAAGACCAGAAAAAAGAUAAAAAAACAGCAACAAAAAUGAGUAGUAAAGAAGGUGGAAUUAAGAAACAGAAAUGGUGAAGUGAUACCAUAAUGCUCUGCUGGCUUAAAAGCAAGGAAAAAUUAUGAAAGCAUUAAUUUAUUCAUUUUCAGACAAAUGAAAACAAAACAAGAACAACAAAAAAAACAACAAAAACCCAAAAAACUAGUCCAUAGAAAGAGAGAAAAUAGAGCAGAAAUUAGAACAUGUGAAGAAAACAGGCAGCAAAGGAAGAGGAAAUGAAGAGUGGUGAAACAAGUGUUGGAAGUAAAGGAGCGGGGCUGAAGAAGCAACACAAAGAGGUCUGAUGCACAGGGCUUUUAGUCCACUCUAAAAUGGAUCUUAGACUAUCUCAAGCUGUGCACUGCAGUGAGUGGUUUUGAACUGAGAGAUCCACUUCUGUGAGAGGCCCACAAGAUGCGAAUAUCCUCACGUCUCCAUUGUCUUAAGAAUGCAGAGCACACCUCAGCUAAGAAAACUGGGACUUGCCAUGGAGAAGGAGCGAUGAACAUGUAUCAGAAGAGUAAAUCAGCUGCCUCUUGCUAAGUACCCUAUGAUUUUUCUUGACUGCUGCCGUUUGGGCCCUACCAAGUCCAGUGCUUACGGUGCAAAUCAGGUAUGCUGGCUCCUUUUUUGUUGUUCUGCCUUUUGAAAGGAUAAAGUCUUUCUUAGGAAAAACAGGAACUGUAGCAAUACAGCGCCAUCUCCUCAGAGAAAUUUUUAUUAAUUCAUUUGCUUUGCAAGAGGGAGCUAAAUCAGUAUAAUUGUGGAUUCUUGGUCCUGCGGGCAGAACAGAAUCCCAGAAACAUGACAUUGUAUGCUAUUUUCCUCUUAUUUUUAAAGACAGACUGCGUAGUACGAUAUUAGGUGAAGCAAAUCCUUAUAAUUCAUAUAUUUAUGCUGGGUGUUUUUAAUUACUGUUGUUCAUAGAGGUGGUGUUAUUUUUCUAAAAAUAAUAUUAGUGUAUGAUAGGCGUCUUUCCGUAAGGCUACGUAUAGAAAGCUCAUUAAAAGAUAGCACUCUGGG